rnacentral:rRNA from 1 species
UCUGCUCAAUGAUUUUUAAAUAGCCGCAGUACCCUGACUGUGCAAAGGUAGCAUAAUCAGUUGGCUUAUAAUUGAAGUCUGGAAUGAAUGAAUAUAUGGGUAAUCGCUGUCUCAUUUAAAUAAGUUGAAUUUAUUAAAUAAGUGAAAAUCCUUAUAGUUAAAUAAUAGACGAGAAGACCCUAGAAAUUUUUAAUAGAGCAUGUAAUUUUUGUUGGGGCAACAUAGUAGCAACGAACCUACUUUUAUAUAUGAAGUUUAUAUAAAGGAGAAAUAAAUUACUCUAGGGAUAACAGCAUAAUUUUAAAAAGUUUGUGACCUCGAUGUUGGACUAGGAAAUUGAAGUUUAGAAGAUUUAAAAGAUUGCUCUGUUCGAGCAUUUUACUCCUACAUGAUCUGAGUUC